UCACACCACUCAAAAUCUAAAAUAAUAAUAAUAGUUAAUAAAAGUUAGAUAACCAAGUCCAAAAUACUUUUAUUUUAAGCAGCGUUUUGCAGGUGGUUUAAUCAACAAUAUUUUGUAUAUUAAUGUUUUAAUUUCAGUGAAUAUUUAAAAGUGAUAAGCCAGUUAACCUCUGUUAAUUUUUUUUUUUCACUACAAAGUAUGACUUUUAAUGAACCUUUUGUUAAAUUCUCAAGUAUUUCUGUUUGGUUUAAACAUUUUAUCCACAG